UACGGAGGGUGCAAGCGUUGUUCGGAAUCACUGGGCGUAAAGGGCGUGUAGGCGGCCCGCUAAGUCUGAUGUGAAAGCCCGGGGCUCACCCCCGGAAGGGCAUUGGAAACUGGCGGACUCGAGUCCCGGAGAGGAGGGUGGAAUUCCCGGUGUAGCGGUGAAAUGCGUAGAUAUCUGGAGGAACACCGGUGGCGAAGGCGGCAUCCUGGACCAACACUGACACUGAUGAGCGAAAGCCAGGGGAGCAAACGGG
rnacentral:rRNA from 1 species